rnacentral:ncRNA from 1 species
AUUUCUUUGUCGCCGGAUAAAGAAAUUAAUAAGCGUUUAAAUUUCACGCCGCAGGCCUUUGAAAGUGUGAUGUUUAAGCGCUUUAUUUU